rnacentral:lncRNA from 1 species
CAGGUAUAAUAGUCAUGGCCUCUAUCAACUCUUGAAAAGCACUAUCAGCCUCUAUACUCCAGUUAAAUAAAUUCUUCUUCAAUAAGGUAGUGAGAAAUUUGCCAAUCCACUCAUAAUUUUGAACAAACCUCAUGUAAUAGCCAGUAAGUCUCAAGAAAUUGGAGUUUUGGGUACAUUCCAAAUUACCAUAGCCUCGAUCUUAGCAAAGUUUGUUUUCACUUCUUAACCGGUAAUGAUGUUUCCUGAAUACUCCACCCUAUCUUGUCUAGUUGCACACUUGAAAUUUUUAGCAUACAAUUAUUAUUUUCUAAGAACCUGCAGUACCUUUCUCAGAUGUUCACAUGUUUUUUAAUAUUAGUGCUACGUACAAGAGUAUCAUAAAAAAACUAGAACAAACUACCUCAAAUAGUUUUGAACACAUCCUUCAUUAGAUAUUAAAAUGCGGUAGAAGCAUUGGUCAGGCAAAAAGCAUCACCUUAAACUUAGAAUUCCCCAUAUGUGUCCUGAAGGCAGCUUUAUGAAUGUUUGGUUCAUUCAUCUUUAUUUAAUGGUAGUCAACCCUUAGGUUAAUAUUAGAAAACACCACAGCUCCCUGGAGUACAUCUAAUAGAUCAUCCAUAAGAGAAAUUGAGAAUUUUUCCUUCACAAUCAUGUUGUUUAAUUCUUUAUAGUCCACACAAAACCUUCAAGUACUAUCUUUCUUCUUGACCGACAACGCAAGAGAUGAUAAAAGCAAAUGGUCGAAUUAAAUAAUUUCAUUGUCUAACAUUUUCUUUACUUGAUUUUUUAUUUUAUUUUUCUAGCAAAAGUUAUAUCUAUAGGGCCUAAUACUCAUAAAAAUUGUUUCAGAUUUCAAGAAAAUAAAAUGGCCGUGUUGUCUCUUAGGAGGCAAGGUGGUAGGCUCCUAAAAACAUCUACAAAUUCUUCCAAGAUUGUGUUUAUUACCAAAGACAAAUUUUGUUGCUCUUUUUUUGUAAGGCUAUUAUAGUAAACAAAUGUCCCCAUAUAAACUUGCCCGUCCUCGAUAGUUGUUUCACAUUAUUAGUUGUCAUGCUCUAAGAUUAAUUUACACUUUAAUUUCUUUCUAUUUUAAUUUCUUAAAUUCUCCCAACAAAUUCAGCACACUAUUGGUGAAAUUUAUAAGUCUCGUACAAAUUUUUUCAAUGAAUUUUGUCCAACUAAUGGUUCUCUUACUUAGAUGGUAGAAAAAAAUACCAUGACUCUACUCUUCCAUUAAGACGGAGAACAAUAAUUUCUAGCUUCUCUUCAGGAUUAAUCACAUGAUUAAACUGAAAAUAUCUCUCACACUUUUUUAACCAUGAAUGUGGUCACCAUUUGCAAAGUAGGUAAAUUCAAUUUUAUGGUGAAAUGUAGUCACCUGACCUUGUCUUCCUGCAGGUACACCAUUGUUACUUUCUUUACCAGUCCAACCACCAAAUUAUCCAGCUUGCAUAUUGGGUGGGGCGCCAAUAUGUCAUCUCUGUUUGGUCCCAACCUUUUCAUUAGCAUAUCCAAUUUCUUUUCAAGGUGAUCAAUAUUCACAUCAGUGGCCUUCGCCUUCUAAAAUACAACUGCUAAAUAAGAAGUGAACCAAGAUUUCAACUUUUUCAAGCCUUCCUUCAUGGCUUUGGAUCAUAUUUUUGUAAUCGUCAUUUGUAGGGCCAAAAUCUUGCUUUGAUAUCAAUUUGUAAUGUACUUAAGAACUCAAUACACAAUUAGGGUUAAAUUAUAGUUUAUUCCAUCAAUCAGCAUUCAUUAUUACAUUGCAAUUAGGGAGAAAUAUAAAUAACCGAAUAAUUAGUAUGACUAAUCC